rnacentral:rRNA from 1 species
AACGAACGCUGGCGGCAGGCUUAACACAUGCAAGUCGAACGCUCCGCAAGGGGGAGUGGCGCACGGGUGAGGAACACGUGGGGACCUGCCCUUUAGUUCGGAAUAACGUCGGGAAACUGGCGCUAAUACCGGAUACGCUCUUUGGUCUUGGUCGACCGAAGAGGAAAGAUUUAUCGCUAAAGGAUGAACCCGCGUAAGAUUAGCUAGUUGGUGGGGUAAAGGCCUACCAAGGCGACGAUCUUUAGCUGGUCGAGAGGACGAUCAGCCACACUGGAACUGAGACACGGUCCAGACUCCUACGGGAGGCAGCAGUGGGGAAUAUUGGACAAUGGGCGAAAGCCUGAUCCAGCCAUGCCGCGUGAGUGAUGAA